GCUCUUUUCUUGCCUGCUGCCAAUGUGAGAUGUGCCUUUCACUUUCCACCAUCAUUAUGAGGCCUCCCCAGCCAUGUGGAACUGUUUGUCCAAUAGAACAUAAAACUGUGACGCUUGAAGAUAAACGUGACCUUGACCAGCCCUGAGGAACUUCAGGACUGAAUCCUGCAGUAGAAGCAAGAACAGGCUAUUGGGAGACUCUGGUCCUCAACUGCACAAAGAAGGGCCCAUAUCCUCAACUCUGCCACAGACCUCUUUGAUUCCAGUUGGAAGCCUGGAGAUUUCACUGCUGCUGAGGAGGGUUCCAGGGACUGGGAAACCUGAGCUGUGAGCUGAGCUUGGGUGAUCUGUUUCCAUCUGUGGUCUGGUGCUGAUGGUUUCCAAGGCAGGAAUCAAGUCAGUCCUUGAAGAGCUACAACAGAGCAAAAGUGCAGGUAAACAAAGCAACACGAAGGCUAAAUAAAAGUCAUUUCCCCAAGCAAAAUAAGGGUAGGGACCUUCAGAUGGACAGAUUAGCCUGGAUUAAGCAGAUGGAGAAGCCGAGGAUCAAGGAUCGGGCCAGGAGCCAAGGAAUACUGCCACCUCUAGAAGUUGGGAACGGCCCUCAGCUUACAGCCACUAAGAAAAGGGGGAUUUUGGCCCUCUAGCUGCAAGGAAUCUAAUUCCACUUGAAUUAACAAGGAACAUCCAGGCAGGAAUGUAGCCCUGACAACACCCUAAUUUAGGCCAGUCAGGCCCGGACAGACUUCUGACCCACGGAAUUCUAAAAUAAUUUGUGUUUCUUAAACCAUCAAAUUUGUUGUAAUUUGUUAUGGUAGCAACAGGAAUCAAAUAUACCUCUCUACUUUUACAAGA
rnacentral:lncRNA from 1 species